UGGGGAAUUUUGCACAAUGGAGGAAACUCUGAUGCAGCGACGCCGCGUGAGUGAUGAAGAUCUUCGGAUUGUAAAACUCUGUCCUUAGUGAAGAUAAUGACAGUAACUAAGAAGCAAGCCCUGGCUAAAUACGUGCCAGCAGCCGCGGUAAUACGUAUGGGGCAAGCGUUGUCCGGAAUUAUUGGGCGUAAAGGGUACGUAGGCGGUUUAAUAAGUCCUAAUUAAAAGGCUAUGGCUCAACCAUAGUAUGGUUAGGAAACUGUUGAACUUGGGUAGAUGAGGGGAAAGUGGAAUUCCAUGUGUAGCGGUGAAAUGCGUAGAUAUAUGGAGGAACACCAAUGGCGAAGGCAACUUUCUGGAAUCAAACUGACGCUGAGGUACGAAGGCGUGGGGAGCAAACAGG
rnacentral:rRNA from 1 species